GACAGAGGGUGCAAACGUUGUUCGGAAUUACUGGGCGUAAAGCGCGUGUAGGCUGCUCGGAAAGUCGGAUGUGAAAGCCCUGGGCUCAACCUAGGAAGUGCAUUCGAAAUUUCCGAGCUGGAGUGCUGGAGAGGAAGGCGGAAUUCCGGGUGUAGCGGUGAAAUGCGUAGAUAUCCGGAGGAACACCGGUGGCGAAGGCGGCUUCCUGGACCGACACUGACGCUGAGGCGCGAAAGCUAGGGGAGCAAACGGG
rnacentral:rRNA from 1 species